AGCAGCCGCGGUAAAUUCCAGCUCCAAUAGCGUAUAUUAAAGUUGUUGCAGUUAAAAAGCUCGUAGUUGAAUUUCGGGAUCAAUGCGUCGGUCGUGCCUCGGUACGUACUAACGUCAUUGAUUUCUCCCUUCUGACGAGCCGUGAUGUCAUUAAUUUGGUGUUACGGGGAGUCAGGACUGUUACUUUGAAAAAAUUAGAGUGUUUAAAGCAGGCAAUCGCUCGAAUACAUUAGCAUGGAAUAAUGAAAUAGGACGUUCGAACCUAUUUUGUUGGUUUCUAGGAUCGACGUAAUGAUUAAUAGGGAUAGUUGGGGGCAUUAGUAUUCAAUUGUCAGAGGUGAAAUUCUUGGAUUUAUUGAAGACUAACUACUGCGAAAGCAUUUGCCAAGGAUGUUUUCAU
rnacentral:rRNA from 1 species